GCCACACAGAGAUUUCCCCUGGCCUUGGGUACAAGAGCCCCAAUUUCCCAGCCAAUGGGAGUGUGUCAUGGACCUUGCUGCCCGGGACUUCAGGGAAAUUCAUCCUCAGUGGAGCCUGGUAGAUGGACCAUGCGCUCAGCUGCAGUGGACUGGUAAGGGAACAGCAGGAUCUCAAAGCAUACCCAUGGCAAUGACUCACCCUCCGAGGUAUGACUUGAAAGCUGAUGAAAUAACC